AUUCUCACUUAGGCAACACAUAUACUAAAAUUGGAAUGAUACAGACAAGAUUAACAUGGCCCCCUGUGCGUGGAUGACAUGCAAACUCUUGAAGCAUUCCAUAUUUUU